AUGGACCUUGGGCGGCUGAACUAUGGGAUCAUUACCCUCAUCCCUAAGGUUCCGGGCGCCUCCAACAUUCGCCAAUUCCGCUCGAUCACGGUGAUCAACGUGAUCUUCAGGAUAUUGGCUAAAGUGUACACCAAUAGGGUGACCCUUCUUGCGGACUUUGUCACCCACCCCAACCAAGCAGCCUUCAUCCAAGACCGAUUUAUUUUGGAUGGGGUGCUGGUCUUUCACGAGAUCAUUCACAAAGUCUGCUCCAAACACCACCGCGCGGUCUUCCUGAAGCUAGACUUCCACAAAGCCUACAACACUGUUCAGGAAGUCCUCAAGCAUAACGGCCCGGGCGAUGGGAGUUGUCCCAUCUGUGGCACGAUCGAGGAUGCUAAACACAUCUUCUUAUCGUGCUCCACUUCCCAGUUCAUGUGA
rnacentral:rRNA from 1 species